CCCCCCGCUGCUCAGCCCUAACAGCAUCUGUAAAAAGGGGGAACUAAAUAAAAAGGGGCUAAGAUGAAAAAGAAAAAAGUCCAUGUAUAUAUUAAUAAGGGAGUGGAGAGACGAUGAGUGCAGAGAAUAUGUACUAGCAACGAACACGCCAACAUUGGAGUUAAAAGAUGGCAUUUGACACAUAGGGCUUAAUCUUCUUACUACUUAUAAAAAUCACCUCAUUUUCACCCAUACAACUUAUAUUCUCUUUAUCCAAACUUAUAAAAAAUCAUCUCAUUUUUCGCUUAUAUUCUUUCCGCUUAUUUUCACUUAGUCUUCUUGCUAAGUGCUAAGCCAACUGAACUUACUUAAAAAACAAUUAAGUACAUAAAAUAAGUGAACCUCCCCUUACCACACCAUAAGACACUAUUCAGCUAGUUGAUCGCUCAUGAAUCAUUUAUGUUGGUACUUUCAUUCAAAUCUCUACACCUACUUUCUUAGUUACGGACCUAGCUAGACAUAGACAGUCUUCAAUUCCCAGUGAGUCAAGUGAACUUACUCCCCCCAAGUUGAUAAAGAAAAAACAAUAAAGUACAUUAAUAAGUGCACCUCCUAUGGCCACACCAAAAGACGGCUGGGCGGCAAGUUAGACUGUAUUUAUUUUUCAGUUAGAAAUGUCCGCUAUAUACAGUGUAUGCAGCAAGUCAAUUUUCAGUUCCAACUUCUAAACCUCUGCAAUCUAGUUUGUGACCAAAGGCAAUGGAGCUGAAGGUUUUCCUCACACAAAAUUCCCCUUGGUUCUUGAUUGGACAGUAGGGAACAAGGGCUGCAAUGCUUCAAAGAGUGGUACCGACUACGCGUGCAAGAACAAUAGUCUCUGCGUUGAUGAGGACAUAGAUUAUGGUUACCGAUGCACAUGUAUGUCAGGUUAUGAAGGAAACCCAUACCAUCCUGAUGGCUGCAUAGGCAAUUUAUUCUGCUAAUAAUGAAGACUUCCUUUUUUUGUGUAAAAUGUUGAUACAAAAAUUAGAACUUAUGCCUCAUUCAACCUACGCAAUCCUUAACCACUUUCUCAACCUUAGGGGCUUGCCAUAACACAAUUGAAAAUGCAUCAUUGGACACAGAUUCAUUUACUUCAAUGAUAUCUUUUUUUGAGUCGCAGAUAUUGAUGAGUGUAAGAGGUCGGGUCAUACAUGCAUGGAUGAAAAUCACUGUCGGAACAUCAAUGGGUCUUACCAAUGCUUUUGUCCUAAGGGGCAAUCAGGAGAUGGAACUGAGAAAAGAGGGUGCCACAAACAGGAAGUACUUACCAAAGUUAUAAUUGGUAAGAAGAUAAGGGCAUCCAUUUAAUAUUAUUUCAGUCUCUUGUGUCUUUCAUUUCAAGUUCUCGUAGUUAUGUUCAUUGAGCAAGGAUGUUGUUUAGAGAAUAACUCAUUGAUUGGGUCAAAAUAUUUGGAAUGCAGGAGCAGGUGCAGGGCUUAUUAUUCUAUUUGUGGGGAUUGCCUCCAUGUACUUACUAUACCAGAAAAGGAAACUAAUGAAGCUAAAAGAGAAAUUCUUCCGUGAGAAUGGGGGUUUCAUUUUGCAACAAAAACUCCAUGCAAGAGAAGAUUCCUCCCAAACAGCUAAAAUAUUCACAGAAGAUGAACUCAAGAAGGCCACCAACAACUAUGACGAGAGCGUAAUCAUUGGUAGAGGAGUUUUUGGCAUAGUUUUCAAGGGAAUUCUACCAGAUAAACGGAUUAUUGCGAUCAAGAAAUCCAAAAUAGUAGAUAAGAGUCAAAUCGAGCAAUUCAUUAAUGAGGUGGUUGUUUUGUCCCAAAUCAUUCACAAAAAUGUGGUCAAACUCUUGGGAUGUUGUUUGGAGACUGAAGUUCCUUUACUAGUUUAUGAGUUUGUCAGCAAUGGUACCCUUCAUGAUUUUAUUCACAAUGGAGGCAAGGAAGAAAAUGAAACAUGGAAAACUCGUUUAAGGAUAGCAGCAGAGGCAGCUGGAGCUCUGUCAUAUCUGCACUCGGAUGCCUUUGUACCCAUUAUCCACAGAGAUGUAAAGGGUGCCAACAUUCUCUUGGAUGACACUUACAGAGCCAAAGUGUCAGAUUUUGGAGCUUCAAAAUUGGUUCCGCUUGACCAAGCAGAUAUAGCCACAAUGGUGCAGGGAACUCUUGGAUACUUAGACCCAGAGUAUAUGCAAUCACAACAUUUGACAGAGAAAAGUGAUGUAUAUAGCUUCGGGGUAGUGCUAGUAGAGCUGCUAACAGGGGAGAAACCUAUUUCUUUUGACAGGCAAGAAGAGAAAAGAAGCCAGGUAUGNNNNNNNNNNNNNNNNNNNNNNNNNNNNNNNNNNNNNNNNNNNNNNNNNNNNNNNNNNNNNNNCGUAGAAAACCGGUCUAAGGAUAGCAGCGGGGGCAGCUGGAGCUCUGUCUUAUCUGCACUCGGAUGCCUUUGUACCCAUUAUCCACAGAGAUGUAAAGGGUGCCAACAUUCUCUUGGAUGACACUUACACUGCCAAAGUGUCUGAUUUUGGAGCUUCAAAAUUGGUUCCACUUGACCAAGCUGGUAUAGCCACAAUGGUGCAGGGCACUCUUGGAUACUUAGACCCAGAGUAUAUGCAAUCACAACAUUUGACAGAGAAAAGUGAUGUAUAUAGCUUCGGGGUAGUGCUAGUAGAGCUGCUAACAGGGGAGAAACCUAUUUCUUUUGACAGGCAAGAAGAGAAAAGAAGCCUAGCUAUGCACUUUCUUUCUUGCUUGAAAGAGGACCGCAUGUUUGAUGUUGUUCAAGCUGGAAUCAUGAAUGAAGAAAACAAGCAAGAGAUAAAGGAGGUUGUUGUUCUUGCAGCAAAGUGUUUGCGGCUUAAAGGCGAGGAAAGACCAAGCAUGAAGGAAGUGGCUAUGGAGUUGGAGGGAUUAAGACUAAUGGAGAAGCACCCCUGGACAAGUAGAGAACAAGAUUUGGAGGAGACUUGAUACUUGCUUCACGAGGAAGCGUCAAACAUUUAUUAUGAAUGUGGUGACAGCAGCAGCCUUCAGAAUACUGGGUAUGAUAACAGUAGGGAUCAAGUACAGCUGGUUGCCUUGCAGGGUGGAAGAUGAUUAUGGCAUAGAAUGAUUGUACACGACACUGCCUUUGAUAUCAAGGUUCUGUUACAAUAUAUGGUAAUCUUUAAAAGCAAUCCGUUAUUUUUCCUUGAAUAUGUGUGUGAAAAAUCCUAUCUUGUAUUUUCUAAGUACUUAAUAAUAAUCCAGCAGUUCAAUUUUUUUCUUAACUUAAACAAUUAAUAUAACAGUUAGCGAGGGAUUACCUCUUCAAAAUCCUCGUGUUCUGACUUCUCAGCAGAUUCUUAUGAGCCAUCAAGCAAAUGUUGGCUUCUUCAGAAUCAUCUUUUUCAGCCUUGGAAGAUUCUUCAUACAAAUCUUCCCAACACUAGAAAAAAACUAAAAUAAAUAAAAAGAAAAAUUAGUGGUAAUCACUUGCCAAUGUAUAACCACCACAAAGUGUAAAGAGUAAACUUCGCAAUACAUC
rnacentral:lncRNA from 1 species